AUUUGCAGCUGUUUAGCUAAAAAAUGUUAAUCGGAAAAAGCAAAAGUGGAUGGCGUGGUGCCAGUAAGAUGGUAUCGAUAUGAUAUAGUUUCAAUUAAGUUAGUCGCAGACGAAAAAUAAAACCUGUAAACAAUUUCUCUCUAUAUUAACUUAUUCAAGUGCCAGUGAAACAAACAAUAGAAAAGAGGAAGCAUUUAAACUGUUUUCAAAACUUUUGGUUUGAAUACAAAAGACCAAGUGAAAAUGAUACUGGAAAGGUACACUUUCUUAUAACUAAACAUCAUUGCAGCUUUCUAGUCUUCAUUUUUGUUUAUGUGUAUUUCAUCUGUGUUGCUAAUGAUAUUGCCAGUUUUUAUGAUUUUAUGUUGUUAGGUAAAGCAUCCUUAUGUUUCAGGCUAAAAUAGAGCUUUGAUUAAUACUUUUAUCCAGUUUAAAUAAAUAACAACUCUCAAGGUGUAUUAGCUCAAUUAUCUUUUUGAUAGCCUUUAGUCAAUAACGGAUUUUUAAAUUGUUAUGAAUCUGCAACACUUAAUUUCAGGGAAAUUCAAUUAAAAAGUCAUGUCAUAGAAGACAGAAAAAUAUCAGUAUCUGUUUUCAAUAACUUGGCUUUCAUAGCAAAUCUGAGAGACUGUUUACUGUUUGACUCCUGUCCCAAUCCUACCUAGUUGGUUCAAAAAGAAAGGACCACGUUGAAAACAUGAUGGGGUUAAAAGGAGCAGCCCUUUUUGAAUUAAUAGUCGAUAUAAAUAAUAUAAUGGCAUGGUCAUCUAUUUGCAAUUACAAUUAUACAUUGGGUAACACAAAAGCUGAACGUGAUUUGGGUAUAAUGUUUCAAUCCGAUUUAAAAUGGCACUCACAAGUUGAUUCAGCAACCAGCAAAGCAAACAGAAUGUUAGGUACCAUAAA